UACGUAGGGGGCGAGCGUUGUCCGGAUUUAUUGGGCGUAAAGAGCGUGUAGGCGGCCAGGUAGGUCUGCUGUGAAAACUCGAGGCUCAACCUCGAGACGUCGGCGGAAACCAUCUGGCUAGAGUCCGGAAGAGGAGAGUGGAAUUCCUGGUGUAGCGGUGAAAUGCGCAGAUAUCAGGAGGAACACCGGUGGCGAAGGCGGAUCUCUGGGCCAGUACUGACGCUGAGGAGCGAAAGCGUGGGGAGCGAACAGG
rnacentral:rRNA from 1 species